CGGCGGCGCGUGCGCGCCCCGGAUCCGGCGCCGUAGGGUGUGUGCUGUCCGGGCUCACGGGGACCCUGUCUCCGAGUCGUUCGUGCAGCGUGUGUACCAGCCCUUCCUCACCACCUGCGACGGGCACCGGGCCUGCAGCACCUACCGAACCAUCUAUAGGACCGCCUACCGCCGCAGCCCUGGGCUGGCCCCUGCCAGGCCUCGCUACGCGUGCUGCCCCGGCUGGAAGAGGACCAGCGGGCUUCCCGGGGCCUGUGGAGCAGCAAUAUGCCAGCCGCCAUGCCGGAACGGAGGGAGCUGUGUCCAGCCUGGCCGCUGCCGCUGCCCUGCAGGAUGGCAGGGUGACACCUGCCAGUCAGAUGUGGAUGAAUGCAGUGCUAGGAGGGGCGGCUGUCCCCAGCGCUGCGUCAACACCGCCGGCAGUUACUGGUGCCAGUGUUGGGAGGGGCACAGCCUGUCUGCAGAUGGUACACUCUGCGUGCCCAAGGGAGGGCCCCCCAGGGUGGCCCCCAACCCGACAGGAGCGGACAGUGCAAUGAAGGAAGAAGUGCAGAGGCUGCAGUCCAGGGUGGACCUGCUAGAGGAGAAGCUGCAGCUGGUGCUGGCCCCACUGCACAGCCUGGCCUCGCAGGCACUGGAGCAUGGGCUCCCGGA
rnacentral:sRNA from 1 species